rnacentral:lncRNA from 1 species
GCCUUUAACUCCUGCUAAGUCGAAAUCUGUUUAAGUAUAAACUUUUUAUUUAAUGUCAUAAGACUACAUAUUUUCUUACUUGGUCCAGAGAAAUAAACAGAUGCUUGAAAUUUUAUCCAGAAAUGACUUAGGGCAAAAAAGAUAAGAUUUGAAAUAAUAAAUCGUUUUUUGUUCUCCAGUUACAGCAGACAACAAAGAAGUUUGUGUUAUCGCUUAAGACGUUCGUUGUCUGGUUCAUAGGAGCUGUGGGAAAGUUGGAAAUCCUUUUCUUUAUAGGUUUUAAAUAUGCAUAAGUAUGGUAAUCGCGGUCCUGCUGUGUUGCAAACAGGCGCAGCAGAUCACACACAUGUGCUCCACAACUUCGGACCGCAUGAAGUCGCCAAGAUGAGGACAUACAAGGCUGAAGAGAAACGUGACCAUUAACCACAGAGCAGAUGAAAACUGAUACCAAUGUUCUCAAAAGAUGAGUGAUGUUUCGGAGGUGCUGCGUUGUUCUUUGAUGUGAGGAAGGAAGGUUGAGAAAGAGAAAGCUGUCCAGCACAAGCCACCCUCAUUAGUGUCCAGCGCCCGAAGACACAGGUCACAAAACCCAAUGAACUGGCCAUUUGAUUCAGCUCUGCAGACACUCAGCCCUAAUGCUGCGGUCCGCUCUGACAGCACAUCAUACGCAACACUCAAAGCAGCUUGAAUAACCCUUGGACCGCAUACGGAGUGCAUUAUUUUUUAUGACGAAACCGCUAUAGGGUCCAACUUCUCAACCUGCUUGUAGAUUACAUUCAUUCAAUAAAUUGUGCAUUUUUGAUUUUCUCAACAAAAAAAA